UGCGUAACGCGUAUGCAAUCUGCCUUUUACAGAGGGAUAGCCCAGAGAAAUUUGGAUUAAUACCUCAUAGUAUUACGACUCGGCAUCGAGAUGUAAUUAAAGUCACAACGGUAAAAGAUGAGCAUGCGUCCCAUUAGCUAGUUGGUAAGGUAACGGCUUACCAAGGCAACGAUGGGUAGGGGUCCUGAGAGGGAGAUCCCCCACACUGGUACUGAGACACGGACCAGACUCCUACGGGAGGCAGCAGUGAGGAAUAUUGGACAAUGGGCGCAAGCCUGAUCCAGCCAUGCCGCGUGCAGGAUGACGGUCCUAUGGAUUGUAAACUGCUUUUGUACGAGAAGAAACACUCCUAUGUAUAGGAGCUUGACGGUAUCGUAAGAAUAAGGAUCGGCUAACUCCGUGCCAGCAGCCGCGGUAAUACGGAGGAUCCAAGCGUUAUCCGGAAUCAU
rnacentral:rRNA from 1 species